CAACUAAUAUAACGCAUGCUCCACUCAAGUUGAACUUGUUGACUGAUGCCAAGGCGGAGGCUGCAGUUGCAGACCAGAAGACUGCAGCCAAGGCAGCACUGAUCCACACCUGCCCUGUCUGUUGGACACAGACCCGAAGACAUUCAAGCAGAACUUUGAGUAAGCAUCCCAAGUCUCCAAUGGUUCCAGUACUGGUUGAUGUACAGGCCUAAGUGACCACACACUCAAAUGGACCUACAGCUGGGACACACAAUGACCACAAUUUGAAGGCUGUAACAGAGACGGAAUGAUGUCGAGGGACGCGCGCUGAGACCCCGAGUAUAACUGGACAUGGGCCGGAUAUGUGACAACGACCUAAAAGGGGUGCAGAAGCAAACCAUUUUACAUUUAUUCCAUGGCCAACAAUCCCUCUAGCUACCCCUUAUUCCACAUAGCUUUUUUUGCCCCCUGGUCCCUCAACUUUGGACCUCUGCAUCUUCUCUAUAAACCCACCCUACCUUCACCCAUUUUCCCUAUGCUGCUUCUUUCACUUGUUGUUCUCCUGAUUUGAUAACAUCUAGACUCAGUAACACAUUUAAAAGUGUUGCUGUGUACUACUGUUUUUGCUACUUUUCACUUGAGUAAUGCUGUCCUGCUGCUUAUUCUGGGGUUUUGACAAUGCAAUGUCAAAUGUGCCGCUCACAAUUGACAGCAGAAAAAUGGACCUGUUAAAUUGACAAGAAGGGUGUUGAUAUAGCUGCGUUUAGGCAUGGCCACCUUGUUUUGAGUCUUAAGUGCGUUUCUCAUUCUACUUGAGUUGACACAGUAUUUUAUAUUUAACCUACCGUAGCCAUUUUUUUCACCAUUUGUAACUCAGCCACCAUAAAUCACAAUCUGCUGUUUUACAUUGUGUUAUUUGUGAUAGUAAUAAUCGGAUAGUAAUAAUAGUUCAUAUGGUGCUCUUCGAUGUCCCAGGUUUUUGGCAUUGACUAAUAAAUAAUUGUAUCUUUACUUCAAGUUAGAUGUUUAUAUGUUAUGUAUGAAAGAUAUAUGUAUGCAUUGUUCACUAUUUCG